GCACCAUCUCGCCCUGACAGCCUGUUGCUAUGGUAACUGCUGCGGCGGAGAGCUAACGUCUCUUUGCUAGCUAACACCAAAAAAAAACUUUUAACCGAAAGUUUUGUAAAUGGCGUCAAAAAACAUCGACCCUUUAUCAGUGGAUGAACCGACAGGAGGUGAAGAGGAGGAAGAGGAGGAGGAGGGGGAGGAGGAGGACGAGGAGGAGGAGAGAGGAGCAGAGUGGAGCCAAGAGACUCAGGUUCCAGUGAAGCUGCUGCGAGCUCACAGAGAGGCCGUCACCGCCGCUCGCCUCUGCUUCAACGACAGCUUCCUCCUCAGCUGCUCCUCAGAUGCCACCGCCAUCCUCUGGGAAGUGGAGAGCUGCCGGCCGCGGAGGCUGUUUAGUGGAGUUCAUGGAAAACCAGUCAGUGAGUGUGCUCUGAUCCCAAACAGCAACAGGAUGGUGACGGUCUCCUGGGAUAAGAAGAUGGUGUGUUGGGACGUGGAGACCGGACAGACUCUGUGGACGUCGAGGCAGGCCGGCCUGCUCACCUCCUGCAGCGUCUCAGCUGACGGCCGGCUGGUCGUUUGUGCUGCAGAUCCACAGAACGGCGUGAACGUCAGCGAUGCCGCCAGCGGACAGACGCUGCACCACGUCAGCGAUCACCACCGCUCCACCGUCACACGGUGCCGGUUCGACCCUCAGAGCCAGCGUGUCGCCACGGUGUCUGCAGACCGCGGCAUCAAACUGUGGGACCUGCUCGCCCUCAAAACCACCGUGUCCAUCGACAGUAACCACGGCAACGUCGUCUCCGACUGCUGCUUCACCAACAACGGGCACUUCCUGUGCACGGCCUCGUGGGAUAAAACGUUGAAGCUGUGGGACCUGCAGACAGGGGGGUUCCGAUCUCACGGCGGGACGACGCUGCAGAGAGGCCAUGAAGGCAGCGUGAGCUCCUGCUGCUUCUCUGCUGACGCAAACCUGCUGGUGUCCGGCUCCUAUGACAAGACUGUUGCACUCUGGGAUACGUCCUCCCUCUGCCAGACUCUCAUCCUGAAGGGCCACAGUGAUUGGGUGACAGAUGUGUCGAUCAGCGCUGACAGGACGUUGGUGUCCUCGUCCUCUAAGGACGGGACUGUCAGGUUAUGGAACAUCGAGAACAUGGAGGAGAUCCCAGAAGUCAUGGAGAAGAGGAGGACUGAAGGAACAGGAGUUCACAUCCUCAAGUGUGAGGAGUGUGGAAAACCGUUUCCUGUGUCCAGACUGCAGACCUCAGAGCUGCUGACUCAGUGCGUCUUCUGUCGACUCAGAUUACCUCCCAGAUACCGACCACAGCCUCCACCUCUCAUCUAACUGCCCGUCCAGGAGGUCAGAGGUCAGCCUCACAGCUGGAUUCAACCUGUUGCUCUUCAGCAGGGCGCGACCUGCUGCAACAAACAGGAAGAGCGAAGGACGUCCGUCACCGUGUGUCCGUUUAUCUCUGUGGGGAUUCACGGUGUGACGUCGUUGAACAGACGGGAAAACAUGACGGCAGAGAACACACAACAGAAACACUUCAGUUGUGUUCGGACGCAUCAAAUAGUUUGUUUCAAGCAAACUUUGACCUUCAGAGCUUCACCUGAAGUGUUCAGUUUGUCAUGAGAGGAAAAAUAAAGUUCAUACAUUCCUGCUUCCUCUAACUGCUCCCUGUAUGUUUCCUCUGAUCAGUAUUUUUGUACUAUGCUGUAUUUACAUAACUAUAUCACUAUAUUAUACUAAAAUAUUAAUAAGAAUAUGUUGAAUAUGUUUUAAUUUAGUUAAAGCUGGAUAAAUAGAUAAUAAAAACCAUUCAGCCAAUAGAAUACUUUCAUGUUUUAUCUCCUGGUCUGGUGGAUAUUCACACAUCAGAUUUGUAUGUUUGUGAACCCGUGAAGAAGACGCGUCCCCUGUGACGGAGGACACGGGAUGAAUGAAGCUCUAUGAGUAGACGUGG